rnacentral:lncRNA from 1 species
GUUUUACCUUUGACGAGAUAUCUUGUGCAUCGGGAUUCCGGUGAUGCUUUGGGUAAUCUCAGAGUUGAGGUUUUCCACUAGGGAAUCCGACGAGAUCGCGAGCUUCGUGAUUGAGGAUUUCUAUGCGGCUUGUGGUAAUUUGUGAUGGACUAGUUGGAGCACCCCUGCAGGGUUAAAUCUUUUGGAAAGCCGUGCCCGCGGUUAUGUGGCAACGUGGAUACUUUGUUUAACACUGGUUCUAGAUAACUUGAAGUUAACUUAAUUAAAACAUGCCCACUGUGUGCGUAACCGUGACUAUCUCUUUCGUGAGUUCUUUCUCCGAUCGAGGACACGGUGGGGUUAUGUCUGACGUAGGUAGGUGUUCAGGAUCAUUCUCUUGAUCAACCGUAGUUCACGUCCGUUAUGCGUAGUUCAUUCCCCUCUUUAUUCUUGUACUCGUAAGUUUAGCCACCAAAUAUAUGCUUAGCCGCUGCUGCAACCUCACU